rnacentral:rRNA from 1 species
UACGAAGGGGGCAAGCGUUGUUCGGAUUUACUGGGCGUACAGGGAGCGUAGGCGGUUGGGUAAGCCCUCCGUGAAAUCUCCGGGCCCAACCCGGAAAGUGCGGAGGGGACUGCUCGGCUAGAGGAUGGGAGAGGAGCGCGGAAUUCCCGGUGUAGCGGUGAAAUGCGUAGAGAUCGGGAGGAAGGCCGGUGGCGAAGGCGGCGCUCUGGAACAUUUCUGACGCUGAGGCUCGAAAGCGUGGGGAGCAAACAGG